GUGGGGAAUCUUGCACAAUGGGCGCAAGCCUGAUGCAGCAACGCCGCGUGCGGGAAGACGGCCCUAGGGUUGUAAACCGCUUUCAGGAGGGAAGAAAAUGACGGUACCUCCAGAAGAAGGUGCGGCCAACUACGUGCCAGCAGCCGCGGUGACACGUAGGCACCAAGCGUUAUCCGGAUUUAUUGGGCGUAAAGAGCUCGUAGGCGGUUCGGUAAGUCGGGUGUGAAAAUCCAAGGCUCAACCUUGGGACGCCACCCGAUACUGCUGUGACUAGAGUGCAGUAGGGGAGCAGGGAAUUCCUGGUGUAGCGGUGAAAUGCGCAGAUAUCAGGAGGAACACCAGUGGCGAAGGCGCUGCUCUGGGCUGUAACUGACGCUGAGGAGCGAAAGCAUGGGUAGCAAACAGGAUUAGAAACCCGUGUAGUCC
rnacentral:rRNA from 1 species